CCUACGGGGGGCAGCAGUGAGGAAUAUUGGUCAAUGGACGAGAGUCUGAACCAGCCAAGUAGCGUGAAGGAUGACUGCCCUAUGGGUUGUAAACCUCUUUUAUAAAGGAAUAAAACGAGGCACGUGUGCCUUUUUGCAUGUACUUUAUGAAAAAGGAUCGGCUAACUCCGUGCCAGCAGCCGCGGUAAUACGGAGGAUCCGAGCGUUAUCCGGAUUUAUUGGGUUUAAAGGGAGCGUAGGUGGGUUGUUAAGUCAGUUGUGAAAGUUUGGGGCUCAACCGUAAAAGUGCAAUUGAUACUGGCGGUCUUGAGUGAGGUUGAAGUAGGCGGAAUGCGUGGUGUAGCGGUGAAAUGCUUAGAUAUCACGAAGAACCCCGAUUGCGAAGGCAGCUUACUGA
rnacentral:rRNA from 1 species